CCAAUAGCGUAUAUUAAAGUUGUUGCAGUUAAAAAGCUCGUAGUUGAAUUUCGGGAUCAAUAUUUCGGUCAUGCCGUUGGUAUGCACUGUUAUCAUUGAUUUCUCACCUUCUAAAGAACCGUAAUGCCAUUAAUUUGGUGUUACGGGGAAUUAGGACUGUUACCUUGAAAAAAUUAGAGUGUUUAAAGCAGGCUCACGCUUGAAUACAUUAGCAUGGAAUAAUGAAAUAGGACAUCCGAUUCUAUUUUGUUGGUUUCUAGGAUCGAUGUAAUGAUUAAUAGGGAUAGUUGGGGGCAUUAGUAUUCAAUUGUCAGAGGUGAAAUUCUUGGAUUUAUUGAAGACUAACUACUGCGAAAGCAUUUGCCAAGGAUGUUUUCAUUAAUCAAGAACGAAAGUUAGGGGAUCGAAGACGAUCAGAUACCGUCGUAGUCUUAACCAUAAACUAUGCCGACUAGGGAUCGGAUGAUGUUAAUUUUUUAAUGACUCAUUCGGCGCCUUACGGGAAACCAAAGUGUUUGGUUC
rnacentral:rRNA from 1 species